AAAGUGCAGUGCGUGCCAAGAAAUUCAAACUGUCCAGGUGACUGACCCAGACCCCAGGAGAGAUGGCAAGGGAUGAAGUUAACUGAUAGGCAGGGCCUGUCCUUACUUAUGCAAGUCCUUGCAAGCCAUGUUAGGAGUACGGAAUUUCAUCCUCAGAGCAAUGGGAAGCCUUCAAAAUGUUUUCAGCAGGAAGUAGAUAUGGGAGGGUGAGAGAUAGAUACAUCAGAGGAGUUAUUUAAAAGAUCUCUCUGUUUACAGUUUGGAGAAUGGACUGGGUGGCACCCAAGUGGGGCCCAAGUGGAUGUGGAAGGUCAAGCAGAGGCCAGGGUAGUAGCCCUGUGAGAAAGCAUGGUGGCUUUGUCAUUGGAAUUUGCGGCCAGAUUCGUGAUUGGUUGGAUGGAAGUGGUGAGAGAGAGGGAGGGAGGAGUAAAGGAUGACUCCCCGGCAACUUCCUGACCGCAGGCAUCACUCCCCGGGUCACAAACACUGCAGCAGGACCAGGCUCGGGAGUGGUAAUCACGCUAGGUAAUUUUGGCCAGGUUGCACCUGGGGUAGCUCUGCGACAUCCAAGUGGAGAUGUCAUGUAGGCAGGAGGAUAAUGAGUCCAGAGCUCAGAGCAGACGUCUAGUCUGGGGAAGUAAAUUUGAAAGUCAUGAGAACAUACCUGGUAACUGAAGUGAUGUGCACCGAUGAGGUUGCUUAGGGAGAGAAUGUAAAGUGAGACAUGAAAAGGGCUGACGGCUGAGUCUUGAGAAACUGCAGCCUUUGAAGUUGGGAGGAGGGUAAGCUGUCAAAAGAGCCUUAAAGAAGCAGCGGGAGGAAGAAGAGAACCAGGAGAGUGCAUCACAGAGGCCAAGGGACGAGUGCCGGCUGGGCCUCGGCGCUAGUGGCUCUUUAGAACUUGGGCACCCACGUACCGCCCUGCAGCGUGUGGCUUCCUUUAUAUUUCCACAGUGUCUUCAACAUCUGCCUCUUUACAAGAUAUUUUGCUUCUGACAAGCUCAAUUUUACUUGCCUUUACGUAGAAUAUACACCUACAGAAGACCCCUCCAUUUGGGCAAUUUAAACCCAGCUGUCAGCAAGUUCACCGAUUAGAGUCCCGUUUAUGAAACUGUUGAGUGCUUCUGAGAAGAGAAAUAAAAAAGAGAGGGGAAAGGCAAGAAGGCAAAGGAAAAAAGGAAAAGCCACUGUUUAUUGAGCAUCUACUCUGUGCUGUUCCACAUGCUUGUCUAACCCUUUCAAAGUGGCGCAAAUGACUCUUACUCUCCUCAUUUUAAAGGCUCGGAGACGUUAAAUAAUUUGAGCAAAGCCACAAAGAUAGUGCCUUGUGUAUGGAGAGCCAAAUCGCCAACUUAUACCUAUCUAUUUGGAAAAUGUUUUUCUAGGGCAGUCCCUCGCAGGAGGUUCAUGUGUGCUUGUGAAACGCAAGCACAUUAUCUCAGAGGCAAAACAGCUACAGGAAAGGAGGAAGAGUCCAAUGUGACAGAGAAAAGGUGGGAGUGAGGCUGCAGAAUGAAACAGAGGGGGAAUCACCGGAAAGCAUCCUCCAUCUGCCUGGGAAGACCUGCAUCAGGCCUGAAAGUGAUAUCGUGGGAACCAACAGAGGACUUGGAAAUCGGAAGAGAUGAGAAUACGGAGACCCCUCUCCAGUGAAUUUCUGCACCGGUCGCUUUGCUCAGCUUUCCCUCCUGUUCCUGAAACGUCUUCCUCAUUCCUCUCAGCCUCUCUAAAUUCUCCAAAUGCUUCAAGUUUCACUAAUUCCCUUAUAAGGCUUAUAGAAUUUCCCACAUGGACCCUCAGUAGGUUAAAAUUUCCAAGAGCACAAAGAACACUUUUGAUUGUGUUCUUCCUCAUUUCCCCACUGUCUAGCACUGUACUUAGCGUUUGUCAGACGCUUAAAAUAUACGUGCUGAAUGAGUUGAUGGCUUUGAAUGACUGGGGGAAUUUUGGGUCCUUCACUCAUCUCAAGUAAACUGUGAAUCAUCAGAAAGAAUAGAAGGAAAAGAGAUUCAUUCUUCUCAAAACACACACCGUCUGUACCACAUAAUUUAGCAAUUAAUUAUGAUUAAUUUAGCAAUUAAAAUGAGCAAUUUAAUGCUCAUUUUGACAGUACAAAGAACCGGCAGCAUUUGUUUCCAUGUCACUUUAAGAACAUUUCCAGCUCAACUGACUGACUUAGGAGGAAUAAUAAUCACAAGUGACAGUGUCCAUGACGGCCUCCACCCAAAAACAUAAAGCGGACUAUUGUGUUCUUGCAGAUAUGAUACGCUUUGCAUUUUCUUUCUCUUGUUUUAUUUUUUAAUAGAAAUAUCUGUUGAUCUACAUGGCAUUCUCUGGAGAAUAUACGAGCUGGGUGUGAUGGGUAGAAUAAUGCCUCCCUCCCCCAAAGAUGUCCACUGUGACUAUGUUAUGUUACACGUGAGAGGGAAUGAAGGUUGCAGACAGAAUUAAGGCUACUAAUGAGCUGACUUUAAAACAUAGGAGAUUAUCCUGGAUUACCUAGGUGAGCCCAACAUAAUCACAAAGCCCAUACAGGACCUUUGUGGAGGAGGGAAGCAGAGGAGGCGGUAUUGCAGUGAUGCAUGUGAGAAAGACUCCACUGGCCAUUGCUGGCAUUGACCAUGGAAGAGAUCCAUGAGCCAAGGACUGAGGGAAGCUCCUGGAAACUGGAAAAGUCAAGAAAAUAGGUUUUCCCUUACAACCUCCAGAAGGAAUGCAGCCCUGCCAACACCUUAGUGUUAGCCCAUUGAGACGUGCUUUGGAAUUCUGAUCCCCAGAACAAUAAGAUAAUAGAUUUGUGUUGUUGUAAGCCACCAAGUUUGUGGUAAUUUGUUACGGCAACAAUAGGAAACUAGUACAUUAGGGGUUCUAAAUAAAAAGACAAGGAUGGGUGCAGUUGCAUUUUACAACUUAUCAAAAAAAGAUACAAUA